AGAUAGGAGAGAGGGAGAGAGAUAGGGUCUUACUCUGUUACUGAGUCUGGUGCACAGUGUUUCAAUCAUAGCCCACCACAGCCUCAAUCUCCUGGACUCAUGCAAUCCUCCCACCUCAGCCUCCUAAGUACCUGGGACUACAGGCAUGUACCA